AGUACGACUGCCGAGUUCCCAAUAACUUUUCAAGUCAGGAAACCAACUGGCUGGCUGGUGAAGUUUCCGAAUCCCGGACUUGUCUAACACCUGUACGCAUUGUCAGACUGGACGAUGUACGCGUCAACAAGCGAUGGAUUCUCGUCCUUAUGGAGGGCUCAGAUAUAACAUGUGGGAGUAUGGUGCAUGUAUGUGCGAGCGGUCCAUAAGGACGAGAGUCCAUCGCUUGAUCCCGCGUGCAUAGAAGUAUUUGAUUCUGAACGUCACCGGCCAGUUGGGGAGGACGCUGGUAACAAUUUGUGCCUUCUCGCACACAUUGUCACCAAGUACCCACCACCGCCACUGUUAUUUUAACAGCCUCGUACUUAUCCGCCCCUACCUUGACGGACUCUACAUAGCCAGUCGGUCUCCUGACUUGUAAGGAUAUGGUGGCUCGGCUAUUAUGCUUCCGAUCAGAUCUCAAGGUCGCGAGGGUUCGGCUUCGUGACCUUUGACAGUCCCGAGCACGUAGACGCGGUGCAGAAGGCUCGGCCACACAAGGUUGACGGCCGCCUGGUAGAGACUAAGAGAGCUGUGCAAAGAGGGGAGACAAACAACUCAGUCCUCCCCACCUCCUUCCAUCCUGACCCCACAUUCAUUGGUGGCCUGCCGCAGGUAGAGAGAGAGAGAGAGAGAGAGAGAGAGAGAGAGAGAGAGAGAGAGAGAGAGAGAGAGAGAGAGAGAGAGAGAGAGAGAGAGAGAGAGAGA